rnacentral:rRNA from 1 species
UCUGGUUGAUCCUGCCAGUAGUCAUAUGCUUGUCUUAAAGAUUAAGCCAUGCAUGUCUAAGUAUAAACACUUUGUACUUGUGAAACUGCGAAUGGCUCAUUAAAUCAGUUAUAAUUUAUUUGAUGGUCUUUUACUACUUGGAUAACCGUGGUAAAUCUAGAGCUAAUACAUGCACAAAAUCCUGACUGCUCUCGGGUAGGAGGGAUGUAUUUAUUAGAUUCAAAAGCCAAUGCCAUCUUUCGGGGUGGAAAUUUUUUAUAUGGUGAAUCAUGAUAACUUUACGAAUCGUAUGGUCUUGUACCGACGAUAGUUCAUUCAAAUAUCUGCCCUAUCAACUUUCGAUGGUAGUAUAGAGGACUACCAUGGUGGUAACGGGUAACGGAGAAUCAGGGUUUGAUUCCGGAGAAGGAGCCUGAGAAACGGCUACUACUUCCAAGGAAGGCAGCAGGCGCGCAAAUUACCCAAUCCCGACACGGGGAGGUAGUGACAAAAAAUAACAAUACCGGUCUUAUUUAAGUCUGGUAAUUGGAAUGAGUACAAUCUAAAACCUUUAACGAGUAUCAAUUGGAGGGCAAGUCUGGUGCCAGCAGCCGCGGUAAUUCCAGCUCCAAUAGCAUAUAUUAAAGUUGUUGCAGUUAAAAAGCUCGUAGUUGGAUUUUGAUGUUACUUUUUAUGACCCGCCUUGUAUAAGGUGUGUUUGUUGUGAUAAGUACAUCUCCUUACUAGACUUUCAUGGUUGCACUUAAUUGAGUGAUCAUUUCAUCUUGAUUUAUUGGGGUGAGUGAUGAGUAGACCUAUUGGGUUUGAGAUUGUGGAUGAACUUCUUCGGAGGUUGGUUCUGCUUAGAUUCAGUAACUAUUCAUUAGAAAUCUAGUUCAUUUACUUUGAGUAAAUUAGAGUGUUCAAGGCAAGCAAAUUUGUUUCUGCAAUGAAUACUAUUAGCAUGGGAUAAUGGAACAGGACACGUAUUCUAGUUUUCCGUUGGUUUCUAGAAUUUUUAGUCUCUCUUUGGAGGGGCGAAGUGUAAUGAUUAAAAGGGACAGUUGGGGGCAUUCGUAUUUCAUUGUCAGAGGUGAAAUUCUUGGAUUUAUGAAAGACGAACUUCUGCGAAAGCAUUUGUCAAAGAUGUUUUCAUUAAUCAAGAACGAAAGUUAGGGGAUCGAAGACGAUCAGAUACCGUCGUAGUCUUAACCAUAAACUAUGCUGACCAGGGAUUGGAAGAUGUAUUAUCCUAUGUUUAACCGUAGGAAAACUCCUUCAGCACCUUACGAGAAAUCAUAAGUCUUUGGGUUCUGGGGGGAGUAUGGUCGCAAGGCUGAAACUUAAAGGAAUUGACGGAAGGGCACCACCAGGAGUGGAGCCUGCGGCUUAAUUUGACCCAACACGGGAAAACUCACCAGGUCCAGACACAGUUAGGGUUGACAGAUUGAGAGCUCUUUCUUGAUUCUGUGGGUGGUGGUGCAUGGCCGUUCUUAGUUGGUGGAGUGAUUUGUCUGGUUAAUUCCGAUAACGAACGAGACCUCAGCCUGCUAAUUAGUGAUGCAAAUGAUUACGUCCGCAAG